rnacentral:rRNA from 1 species
GAGCGGCGAACGGGUGAGUAACACGUGGGUGAUCUGCCUUGCACUCUGGGAUAAGCCUGGGAAACUGGGUCUAAUACCGGAUAUGACCUUCGACUGCAUGGUCGAGGGUGGAAAGAUUUAUCGGUGCAAGAUGAGCCCGCGGCCUAUCAGCUUGUUGGUGGGGUAAUGGCCUACCAAGGCGACGACGGGUAGCCGGCCUGAGAGGGCGACCGGCCACACUGGGACUGAGACACGGCCCAGACUCCUACGGGAGGCAGCAGUGGGGAAUAUUGCACAAUGGGCGGAAGCCUGAUGCAGCGACGCCGCGUGAGGGAUGACGGCCUUCGGGUUGUAAACCUCUUUCGACUCCGACGAAGCGAAAGUGACGGUAGGAGUAUAAGAAGCACCGGCCAACUACGUGCCAGCAGCCGCGGUAAUACGUAGGGUGCGAGCGUUGUCCGGAAUUACUGGGCGUAAAGAGCUUGUAGGCGGUCUGUCACGUCAUCUGUGAAAACUUGGGGCUCAACCUUAAGCUUGCAGGCGAU